GUGACCUUUGCACUGUAUGUUUCCCUUCCUGUGUCCUACCAACAGCCUCCUGCUCCUCCUGCUCCUCCUACUCCUCCUCCUCUUCCUCCUCCUCUUCCUCCUCCUCCAUUCAAUCUACCGUACCCCACAUCAUGUACUGUACAUGUGCAAACAGGCACAUGCGCAGCACACCUCCUAUGUGUGACCUACAGACUGACUUUACACACACACACACACACACACACACACACACACACACACACAUAUUUACAUGCUGAAAUCCCCACUGCUGCUAGCUUAUAUCCACUUGUUGUCAGCAAAACAGGUCCAUGUUGCUUGUGUUGGCUUACAAAGCAAAAAUGUGUGUUUUGGGUGUUUGAACAUGUACAUGGUGUUUCUUGUGCCAACAUGAAGCUGAGGGUUUUAUCUCUCUGCAUAUUAAUGAGGAGCCUGCACACAGAGACAGAUAAUAAUGAAGGCUGAAAUGAGGAAAAGACUGUAGGGAAACAACGUCCUGGUGCCACAUGUCGAAGUAUCCUUGAGCAAGAUACUGAACCCCAAAUUGCUCCUGAUGCCGCGUCGGUGUGUGAAUGUGUAUGAAUGAGUUAGUUUCUGUUCAAUGGACUUUGCCAUCACUGAGUGAAUGUGUGUGAAAGGUUGAAUGUGGCAUGUAGUGUAAAAGCGCUUUGAGUGGUCAGAAGACUAGAAAGGCGAUAUACAAGUACAGGUCCAUUUACCAUAUGUCACUUUUUAUGGGCUGAGACAUCGACCUUGCCUCAGUACAGCAGACACACACACAGUAUAUGUUACAAGUGUGCACUGACACCCCUCCCUCCCCCUAUAGGUCUGUUUAACCCUUGCAGAAUCUGCAGCAGGCACGUCUUCUCUUUCAGUCUGCUGCUCUCUCCUCCCCCCCUCCCCUUUUGUCUCUCAGCUCCUGGCAGUGCACAUACCAUGAGCACACACAUGCACACACAUGCACGAACGGCCGUAAAGCAAAUCUACACACACCCCCUUUCAGUGAGAUCACAUUCAGCACAGAGCAGUUGCAGGACACACUGAAGCCCCCCUCUGGCAUUUUGAUUCCUGCACCGAGCUGUCUAACUCAGGACCAAGACAUCCCAUCUGCAGAUAGGCGUUCGGAGGACAGGAACAGGACAGGACACGCACCCUCUACACCAAGCACCACAGACAUGUCGGACUCCGAGACCGCCGCUGCUGCUCCCGCUGAGGCCCCCGUCCCUGCUGCUUGUGCCAGCAUCAAGGCUGACCUGGACAAAUGUGUGGCCGAGAAGGGAGCCGAGGGCUGCAAAGAUCUGAUGGAGGCCUUUGCUGCUUGUGUGAAGAGUGCAGCUGAGGGGACGUCAUGAGGAGUCGCCCUCCAACCUCAUAUGUCCACUGCACUGAGUCCUCCGAGUUCCCAGCAUUCCCUUCUGCACAACAGCACUGGACUGAAUGAUGACAACGAUGAUGAUGAUGAUGAUGAUGAUCAUGGCGUGUUGAUUCGGGCUGAAUUUGGGAUCUGGCGGCAGUAACCACAGUUUCCUCUCCCCCACCCCCCUCUGUUUUAGGCUUAUGUGGUGUCCCUCAGCUUUACCACCAUUCCCCUUCUCCCUCUACAGCUGACAUACAGCGCAUCGACUUGUAGACAAUUCCAGAGAGCUGAUGGGCUGUGAUGUAAAUUGUCGAAUACUUAUAAAUGGAAAUAAAAGUAUCAAAUAAUUGGUAUAAAAACGAAUUAUGAUCUUUGGCCUCUUUUGUUUCUCUUUUGGGGAAAGGGGAGCACCUGUUUUCUUGGUAUAUUAACAUUGAAUGUAUGCAAAGUCGUGCCCAGAGUCACCAGUCACUACUAAAACAUGUACCUGUCCUCCUAUGAGCCUAAACGCACUCACUGUUUAUCUACACUAGAUUUACGUACAUUCAGUUGUGCUCUGCAAGACUCAUUCAGCUCUCAUAUCAUUCUUAUAAUGUGGGAAACUUUCCAGAUUCACCUGUAUUAUCUGGUCAAAUUCCUCGAGACAAAUAUUGAACAUUUGCUUAAGAAGCUCUGUUCGUGUUUUCAACAAUGGCCGAAACUUAGCACGGUCACUCUUUAAACCAGGGGUGUCAAACUGAUCCGUGAAAGGGCCGGUGGGGCUGCAGGUUUUCAUUCCAACCAUGCAGCAGCACACCUGACUUGGUUCAUUCAAUCAACUGAACUGUCUUCACACAGUCAAAAACUUGCAGCCACACCCACGCUUUAAUCAAGGGUGGCUGUUUUUGUUCCAAUCAAGCAAGAGGACACCUGAAAUGACUGUGUGAAGACAGUUCAGUUGAUUGAAUGAACCAAGUCAGGUGUGCUGCUGCAUGGUUGGAAUGAAAACCUGCAGCCCCACCGGCCCUUUCACGGAUCAGUUUGACACCCGUGGUUUAAAGAGUGACCGUGCUAAGUUUCGGCCAUUGUUGAAAACACGAACAGAGCUUCUUAAGCANNNNNNNNNNNNNNNNNNNNNNNNNNNNNNNNNNNNNNNNNNNNNNNNNNNNNNNNNNNNNNNNNNNNNNNNNNNNNNNNNNNNUUCCAAUCAAGCAAGAGGACACCUGAAAUGACUGUGUGAAGACAGUUCAGUUGAUUGAAUGAACCAGGUGUGCUGCUGCAUGGUUGGAAUGAAAACCUGCAGCCACACCGGCCCUUUCAUGGAUCAGUUUGACACCCCUGCUUUAAACUAUAACACCAACUUUCAGUUGUGCUGUUGCCUCGUGAGAAUCGGAGCAAACUUUUAUAUUUUAGGCCUUGUGGAUCUAAAAUGAGUACGAUGCACUUGGAUUGCUUAUUUUUCUCAAACUGUUUGUGGUGGACUGCUGAGGUGAAAAUGUACUCAAACCUGAUUGGCUCACAGAAUUUGGGCCUCAGGGAUGGGACUGCAGCUUGACCCUAAUCAUAGUUUCCCUUACAUGCUUGGAGGUUGAAGGGAGGGGUGUUCAGUUGGUUGCAAUCUGCAACUACGCCGCUAGAUGUCAUUGAAUCCUACACAGUGGCCCUUUUAAGUUAAUCACUACAAAAUAACUGAGAAAACCAGGAUUUUACAAGCUUUUACCAUUAAUUCCCAGCAUUUGUGCAGUAACUAUUAGUUUUGUUUUUUAUUGUAGGGAAGCAACAGGUAACACUUUAUUUGAAGGGGUUACAGGUAUUGUCAUUUGGUCAGUUAACCCUAACAUAAAAAUGUCAUAAACAUUCAUAAAGACUCCUGCAUGUUCUUGACAGCUGUCAUGUAAGUCUUAUGCACACCCAUUCAAAUGAAGUGGUACCAAACAGGACUAUGAAGCCCCAAAACUAACUUGCUAACUAUCUACUGCCCACCCCUGGCAUCAAGUUGUUGAUGAUUAGUUACAGUUAGUUACAGUUACUUGGUGGUAUACCAUUCUGUUUAAUUUUACUUAUGACUAUAGUAUGGUUUCACUGUACCAUCACAUGUUCACACAUCUACUUAACCUUUUUGCACAUACAAAUAGGACUUAAUGCACACUGCAAAUCAGUCUGUUGUACAAUGGGCAAUAAAAGGAAAUUCCACAGUGUGCCUUGACAGAAACACUGUUGAAAGGUGCUAAAAUAAAUACUGCCAAUUAAAG
rnacentral:lncRNA from 15 species